rnacentral:rRNA from 1 species
GAUUAACGCUGGCGGCGUGCAUAACACAUGCAAGUCGAACGAUGAAACUUAACUGAUUUCUUCGGAAUGAUUUUAAGUGGAUUAGUGGCGGACGGGUGAGUAACGCGUGAGUACCCUGCCUUGGAGAAGGGGAUAGCCUUUGGAAACGAAGAAUAAUACCCUAUGAUAUGAUAAUAUCUCAUGAUAUUAUCAUCAAAGAUUUAUCGCUCUAAGAUGGACUUGCGUCUGAUUAGUUAGUUGGUGAGGUAACAGCUCACCAAGGCAGCGAUCAGUAGCCGGCUUGAGAGAGUGUACGGCCACAUUGGGACUGAGACACGGCCCAGACUCCUACGGGAGGCAGCAGUGGGGAAUUUUGCACAAUGGGGGAAACCCUGAUGCAGCGACGCCGCGUGAUUUAGAAGGCCUUCGGGUUGUAAAAAUCUUUUGUAUGGGAAGAAAAUGACAGUACCAUACGAAUAAGGACCGGCUAAUUACGUG